AGAGGAAGGGUACCCCGACCCACUGGUACGUGAGACACGACCGACGAACUCCUACGGGAGGCAGCAG
rnacentral:rRNA from 1 species